rnacentral:ncRNA from 1 species
UCGGCGUGGUGCAGGCGCAAAGCCAGGCCGUGGCGCUGCAGACCGAAUUGCCCGGCCGUGUGGAGGCCCAGCGUACCGCCCAAGUGCGUGCGCGAGUGAACGGUGUGGUGCUCAAGCGCCUGUUCACCGAAGGCAGCGAGGUCAAGGCCGGUCAAGCCUUGUUCCAGAUCGA